CUACGUAGGUCCCGAACGUUGCGCGAAAUUACUGGGCGUAAAGGGUCCGUAGGCGGUCUGGUAAGUGGAAGGUGAAAGCCUGGGGCUCAACUCCAGAAUUGCCUUCCAAACUGCCGGACUUGAGGCAGGGAGAGGUCGGCGGAAUUCCCGGUGUAGCGAUGAAAUGCGUAGAUAUCGGGAGGAACACCAGUGGCGAAGGCGGCCGACUGGAACUGUCCUGACGCUGAGGGACGAAAGCCAGGGGAGCGAACCGGAUUAGAAACCCUAGUAGUCC
rnacentral:rRNA from 1 species